UACGAAGGGGGCUAGCGUUGCUCGGAUUGACUGGGCGUAAAGGGCGCGUAGGCGGUUCGUACAGUCAGACGUGAAAUUCCUGGGCUCAACCUGGGGGCUGCGUUUGAUACGUGCGGACUUGAGUGCGGAAGAGGGUCGUGGAAUUCCCAGUGUAGAGGUGAAAUUCGUAGAUAUUGGGAAGAACGCCGGUGGCGAAGGCGGCGACCUGGUCCGAUACUGACGCUGAGGCGCGAAAGCGUGGGGAGCAAACAGG
rnacentral:rRNA from 1 species